rnacentral:rRNA from 1 species
UACGGGGGGGGCAAGCGUUGUUCGGAAUUACUGGGCGUAAAGGGUGCGUAGGCGGUCCUCUAAGUUAGAUGUGAAAACUCUGGGCUCAACCCAGAGCCUGCAUCUAAUACUGACGGGCUAGAGUUCUGGAGGGGGUAGCGGAAUUCCUGGUGUAGCGGUGAAAUGCGUAGAUAUCAGGAGGAACACCGGUGGCGAAGGCGGCUACCUGGACAGAGUCUGACGCUGAGGCACGAAAGCGUGGGGAGCAAACAGG